rnacentral:misc_RNA from 1 species
GGGAGCCCAAGUCGCACGAUAAGCAUCUCUCACUGUGUGCGUGUGUGCACAACGCGCUGCUGAGUAGCAUAGAGAGGGCGGAAAACGGAGGUGAGGGAGGUGCACUCCUCAGCCUCACCUGCCUUCCUCCUUCCUUUGUCUCACCAGCAGCAUUACUCCGUACGACGGCAACACCACACACACGCACAUAGUGGAGGCCCACGUCUCGGAGUUCAUGACGUCGCGUGUGCCCUUCAGCGCAGCAUCGCUGGCGGCAUACGCGAUGCCGGAAGCUGACGACAGCACAUACAUGUCAACGGUUGUGGUGCCGCCACAGCCGCACACGUGCAACGCUGCUGCAGCUACAGUGGGUGCUGCGUCAUCGACAGAUGUUACCAAUGACGACUACGCCAGACGAGAAGGCUUUUCGUGCUAUCCGUUGCCAGUCUUGACGCCUGACAGCGGUGUGGCCAGUGACGCACCUUCAGCACUCUUGUCUGCUCCACUCAUCAGUGUCAGCCAUGAUUGUCACUUGCAGUCGCCGCGUUCCAUUGACCCUCCGCAAUCAGUUCCGUCGCUUUCAGUGAGGGAGAGCGAGGCGACCGGCGUGGUCGCUCCGGCAGAGAUCGACCACGGCAUCGUUGCCGACGCUGGCGCUGAGGAAGACGAGGCUGCCAAGCAAGAUGAAGCGCAGACCGAGCGAUGUGGGGCGAACCGCGACGUCCAGCGCUUGUAUAUGCACCCCCUCGCUGCCGCCGCCGCCGAGGGGUCCUUCGGCGUCACAUCACCUGUGGAUCCCAUCACAGCAGCCCUUUCCCGUCAGCAGCAGCAGCAAAACCGCGGCGAACCCUGCUCCCCGCUUUCCUCGCGCACGCUGCAGGCACUGUACGCAGCGUACGCCGAGGGGCGGUACUCCAGCUUCAUCACACAGCUCACCGCUGACGACGUGCUGGCACCGCCGCCGCUGGCGCUGACCUGGUACCCGUCUGUGCCCGCCGGCGUCACGAGGUUCGCCGACCGCAAGCGCACAGCAGAUAGCUUGACGGUGACAGCCAUGCGCCAGCACGAGAAGAGCAUGUUGGCGGAGGAGGAGGCGCACGGUGUUGCCGAGAUGACAUCCACCGGCGCUGUACCGCCGUUACGUCGCCCUCGAACGGAGGAGCUCGCUAUGCCUGGCGCGGGGCCGCAGCCUCCCUCGGCGUCUUCAUCGGUCCCCGCAUCCAUGGGCACAUGCAUACCGCCACUGGGCAUAUACACGGAGGAGUGCGCUACAAAUCGAAGCGAUAGUGCCGAUGCGGCGCGUGCAUCUGCUGCUGCCGACAUGCAUGCGAACCCGCACCGCAAGCGUGAUCGUGACGAGCGAGUGUACGAAUACCUUUCACACGGGCGGCGACUGCGUUGACGAGCGCCAAGGCGGAGGGGGAGGGGGGCUCGAUGGAGGUUGGCAGUGCAGAAGACAAAAGGUGCGUGUAUCCAGUAUGCUGGGACAUGUGCAGGCAAGGGCUCCUCCCUCCUCUCGCGCCCAUCACAUGUGUGUCUGUGUGCACAGAUGCAGUAUCCUGCUCUCACAGCGCGCUUUUCGUUGCCACACCCUCCCUCCCCUGUUCUUUGUCUCCCCUGUUCCUGCAUCGUGCCCGCGCACACACCGGAAUCCGAAGCGGUUACAGUUCCUGCUACUCCUCGCUGCUGCUGGUGCUGCUGCACCACAAACACGCUCCAUCAGUGCCUAUGCAUACACACACACACGCACGAAGCACACAAGAACGCAAGCGUGGCAGUGAUGGAGUGGCACAGCGCUUCCUUCGGCUCCCUUUUCUUUCCUUUUCAGUUAUCGUGCGCUGGCUCGACGCUUCCCCCUGUGAGCGAUGGUGCGAGAAGAAGCCAGAGAAGAAAGCGAAGGCGCGCGCUUGGGUAGGUGGUGGUGGUGCGGUGGUGACGGUGGACAUUGCUGAGGGGCUUAGGCACUGUGUUCCUUUGACACCUCCUUGCAGGCCGACGGCACACCUUCCCCCUUCUUUCCCUCUGUCUCUGCUACCUUCGCUUUCACACCUCAUCGUUUCUCGUGCUCUGGUGGUUUUUAUAUUGUCCUGCAG